GGAGGUGGAGCUCAGUGGUAGAGUGUUUGCCCGGCAUGUAUGAGGCUCUGGGUUCAAUCCCCAUCACUGUCA
rnacentral:tRNA from 1 species